CUGCCGGCAGUCGGUGUGCAGGGGCUGCCGUGAGCCGAGGGAGGAGCGGAGGCAUCGCCGGGCUGCGGCUGCACGGAGGGAGAAGGCCGCGCUGAGGACGUGGUUGCCCGUCCCUCCCUUGGGGAUGCCGUCGACUGCAGCCGCCUCGCCUGUGCCUGGCCUGGCUCGCCUCGUGGCGUGGGGGCGAAAAGGGACAGGCGGCGGAGCGCUUACCGGCCGUGGACAGGAGCUGCCCUAAGGGAAGCUGGAAUGGCCAGAGAAAGGUGAAGAAGAAGAAGAAGAGAUGGAAGGCUCUCCGGCCGGCAGCUGCCUCCCGCUGCAGGCAAGAGAGCGCCUGCCUCGCCGGGCGGAGGACAGCCGAGCGACCGGAGUGACAGCAAAGGAAAGGCGGAGAGCAGGAGAAAGAAGCGUCUGCGCUGGCAAGCUCUCCCGGCAGCGCCGAGAGCCAGAGCUGCGGUGAGUCCUGGGCCCGCGGGGCCCCAUCGCCUCUCCUCUGCGUCGCGGGCC